CUUCGCCACAAAGUGCGGGCCUCUGGACGCAUGCGCGCGGCGAGCCUCCGGAAAGGGCGGGGAAGGUGAGCGAGAACAGUAAAAAUGCCAAGCAGCCUGCUGUGGUACCCGCCCUCCGUCUCCACCUGUCUGCCUUCACAGUGGUGAUGACUGUCUCCAGAAUGCAUAUGUACUUUGGAGGCCUCAAUGGACUGGUGUCUGACUCAUUCCUGAGAACUCUGAACAGAGAGAACCUAACCGAGGCAGCUUGAGAAGGAGGUAGGAGGAAGAGAAUGAUGGCUACAAGGAGAUUAGCUGCAUGCAUGGAAUUUGUCAGCACAAAGGAUGAGUAAGUGUGCAUGUGUGGGCCCUGAGUUAGCCAGCAUGAGAUCACCUUAGAUCCUGUACAAGAGGCCUAGAAACAAGGGCAAAUAGACUUCAGCACAGAGAACCUAAAGGCAAUGCCAAAUGCACAGAAGCUAAAGAACUACAUUCUCCUUGCCAAAGGACCCGCAGGUGAGUGGUUCCCUGGUGAUGGGAUUGACGGGGGUAGCUAUAUGAAUGCCCACAAGAAUCAGUUUUAAAGAGAGAGUUGAUCUUCUACAGCAGAAAUAAUAACAUGUAUGACUCCUGCUCCCUUUGUUGCACUGUGUAACCAUGGUAGUAUAGAGGAUGAAAGACGACUUGGAGAAGAAACUUAGUUAAAUCACAGAGAGGCCCAGAGUAUCUAUCUCAAUGGAGAGCACCCAGCAUUACAGAGACUCCCAGGAGUAGCAGCAAAGCCUAGAACUCUCUGGCUUUUGUUUAGCAUAUCAACGUAAG